UACGUAGGGGGCAAGCGUUGUCCGGAAUUAUUGGGCGUAAAGAGCGCGUAGGCGGUCCGGUAAGUCGGUUGUGAAAGUCGGGGGCUCAACCCUCGGAUGCCGAUCGAUACUGUCGGGCUAGAGUCCGGAAGAGGCGAGUGGAAUUCCUGGUGUAGCGGUGAAAUGCGUAGAUAUCUGGAGGAACACCGGUGGCGAAAGCGCGAGACUGGGCCGUAACUGACGCUGAGGAACGAAAGCCAGGGGAGCGAAAGGG
rnacentral:rRNA from 1 species